CGUAGGGUGCAAGCGUUAAUCGGAAUUACUGGGCGUAAAGCGUGCGCAGGCGGUUAUGCAAGACAGAUGUGAAAUCCCCGGGCUCAACCUGGGAACUGCAUUUGUGACUGCAUGGCUAGAGUACGGUAGAGGGGGAUGGAAUUCCGCGUGUAGCAGUGAAAUGCGUAGAUAUGCGGAGGAACACCGAUGGCGAAGGCAAUCCCCUGGACCUGCACUGACGCUCAUGCACGAAAGCGUGGGGAGCAAACAGGAUUAGAUACCCUGGUAGUCCACGCCCUAAACGAUGUCAACUGGUUGUUGGGAGGGUUUCUUCUCAGUAACGUAGCUAACGCGUGAAGUUGACCGCCUGGGGAGUACGGCCGCAAGGUUG
rnacentral:rRNA from 1 species